GUGUAGGGUUGACCAGCUACAUUAUUGCAAUUCUUAUCAAAUAAAGGUUGAUUGUUUGAAGAAAUGACAAAGUCUCUCCUGAUUGUUUAGAAUUUCCACCACAAUGUGCAGUAACAAUGUUAGACCAGACUCAUAAUACAGAAUGAAUGACUGACUUCCCAGUGCAACAUUAGUUCACCAUCUCAUACUGUUUUGGAGCAGCAGCAGCUGACUGCCCGGUUCAACGUUAGUUCACCGUAUCACCUCAUACAGUAUUGGAGCAGCAGCAGAUGACUUGAUCGUUGAUGCUAAUCAGCAUAUUUCAAUCUGAGAGUAAAUAGAGCCGACUACACUCUGAAAAUGAAGGGUUCAACUGGAGUUGUUCUCAGAUCCCCUAAGAACCGUAGGGUUCUUGGUCAAUGAAAAACAGCCCAAAAGGUUUUUCAAAGAACUUGUUAGAAGGUGGGUUCAUCGAGGAACCUACGUUGUUGCUGGACUUCUUCCGGGAACUUAGCAAUUACAACUGAAAACGCUGGUGGCAAGUUUUGAUGCGACAACAGUUAAAAAGGACAGAACAUGGACACAAUGCAAUUGGGAUCAAGAAGAUCUUCUCAGAAAUGAGGAAAUGUGGUUCUCGCGCCACUUCUGGACAAGACGAUUGGCCCAGUUUAUCUCAAAUUAUUGUUCCAGUUACGCUUCGACAAGAGAUACUGAGGUUGGCUCACGAUGGUAGUAUGGCAGGCAAUCUGGGGGUCAACAAGAUGUCUGAAACAGGAUGUUGUGGCUCACGAUGGUAUUAUGGCAGGUCAUCUGGGGGUCAAUGAGACGUCUGAAACAGGAUGUUGUGGCUCACUGUAAAUCCUGUGACGUUUGCAGCGGACAGGUAAACCGAACCAAGCCGUACCGGUUGCACCUUUGCAGCCUAUGCCUGCUUUUGACAAACCUUUCAGCAGGGUUCUGGUGUACUGCGCUGGUCCUUUGCCCAAAGCCAAGAGUGGUAAGUAUUUCAGUUAACUAGCGAUAGACUAUUUAUAAUGCAGACAUAAUAUAGCAGUUUAUAUGUAUUACUGGUUGAGUGUACUCUUCUGUUUGAGAGACAUUUUUGGCUUUCUUGCCAGGGAACAUCACAAUGGAAGUUUCAAAAAAACACUUUCCUACAUUUCGGCACAGCAGGCCAAUUAGUUCUAUGCUCAGGUGGGCGCUCCCUCAACAUUAUCAGGACAGAGCAAUCAGACACGCUCAUUGCUCACAAGGAGCACUCCAAACAAAGACGAUGAAAAAAAUUGGAUAAAUCUUGUAGAUGACGAUUAUGAAAUAAACCAAAAGUUGUUUCUCACAAGUGAAGCAGGUUUUGAACAGACAACGUUUCCACUCCGAGAAUGAGAACGGUAAAUGAUUGCAAUUAAUACAUGCAUUAACAGAAAGGUAUGAUAACCUAUUGAUAUAAUUAAACUCAAUCUAAAGGCAAUCAAUUCACACAAUGAAACAAUGAAGGAGCAAGAAUUGGUGGAAGCCAGCGGAGGACAUUCUGAAGAGAGACUCAUCAAUAUCUUCACCACACAACCCUCCCCUUCUUCUUGACUCAACAUUUUAAAUUAUACUCAAGAGACAUUAUCUUCACACAUAUGAGCUGCUUUUCACUGACAGCCACAACUCAAUAAUCAGCUAGGCCUAUUGCCACACGCGCUGCCCAAUAGGCAUAAGCCUACAAGCUUGUGCUUUGAAACCAUAACAGCUAUUUUUUUUAAAGAAGCUAAUGAUCCCUGAUUCCUCUGUGGCAACGUCAUGCUUUCUGGUAAAGUAUUUUAUUUAUUUCUGUACAGACAGCAGUCAUUAUAUCAUUUGGGACAAUUUAUUUCAAUUUAUUUACCUGUUGGACCCACCACUAUGCCAUUUCUCUCCUGUUCUAUUGGACCCACCACUAUGCCAUUUCUCUCCUGUUCUAUUGGACCCACCACUAUGCCAUUUCUCUCCUGUUCUAUUGGUUAUCAUAUUCACCCUCUUUCUAAGUAUCUCUGUCAGAUAUGAACCUCUAUCAGGUAGACUAUUUAGAACAGUGUUUUCCCCUGAAUUGCAUUUUAUAAAAUGUUUAUGAAAUGUUUUAUUGUCCGUUUCAUUACAUGAGUUGCAUGUGGUGCUGUGAUUCAUUACCACAAUCGAAUUGUUCUGUUGUGAAUCAUUACCAUAAUCUAAAUGUUCUGUUGUGAUUCAUUACCCUUCACGGAAA